rnacentral:rRNA from 1 species
AGUGAACGCUGGCGGCAGGCCUAACACAUGCAAGUCGAACGGCAGCACAGUAAGAGCUUGCUCUUACGGGUGGCGAGUGGCGGACGGGUGAGGAAUACAUCGGCAUCUACUUUUUCGUGGGGGAUAACGUAGGGAAACUUACGCUAAUACCGCAUACGACCUACGGGUGAAAGCAGGGGAUCUUCGGACCUUUCGCGAUUGAAUGAGCCGAUGUCGGAUUAGCUAGUUGGCGGGGUAAAGGCCCACCAAGGCGACGAUCCGUAGCUGGUCUGAGAGGAUGAUCAGCCACACUGGAACUGAGACACGGUCCAGACUCCUACGGGAGGCAGCAGUGGGGAAUCUUGGACAAUGGGCGAAAGCCUGAUGCAGCCACACCGCGUGGGUGAAGAAGGCCUUCGGGUUGUAAAGCCCUUUUGUUGGGAAAGAAAAGCAGCAGGUUAAUACCCCGAUGUUCUGACGGUACCCAAAGAAAAAGCACCGGCUAACUUCGUG